GCAUCUCAGAGGACGAUGCCCUCUGGCUUACUCUCUGGGAAAUGCUGCUCUGUUGGAAAUCCGUAGUUCUGAGUGAUUCCCAUGUGUUUUCUGCUGCAGAGCAGGACAUGCUGAAGCGAUUCGUUCAUGAGCAGAUGUUAGAGGUCUCCUUUUGACAGCUUGUUACAAAAUGGAUCACAAAUAUACUAUUAGGUAUAUAUUGGGUGAAGGAGCAUUAUGUAUGGAACCUCUCACAAAACAGCUCCUACUUUCAAGAAUGAAAAAGGUAUCCCAGCACUUUGGGAGGCCAAGGUGUGUGGAUCAUGAGGUCAGGAGAUCGAGACCAUCCUGGCUAACACAGUGAAACCCCGUCUCUACUAAAAAAAUAGAAAAAAAAUUAGCCGGGCGUGAUGGCAGACUCCUGUAGUCCCAGUAGUAGAGUCAACCACUUUUAGGCAGCCCCGCUGUACUUGGGAGGCUGAGGCAGGAGAACGGCAUGAACCCGGGAGACAGAGCUUGCAGUGAGCCGAGAUGGUACCACUGCACUCCA